rnacentral:lncRNA from 1 species
UCACAACUGACAGUAUCUGUGUCAAAUAUAAUUGUUUUGCACAGGAUGAGCUCAGGAUUCAAGAGGAGAACAUUGAACAUUUCCAUCGCAGAUCAUCAGAGAUCCAGGAGCUGCUGCAGAGUCGUGAGUUCCUACUGGAGCUACAGGUGAUUGAGAGCCAGCUGAGGAAGAAGAUGGCAGAGGUGAAGGAGCUCUUUUCUGAGGCCAGUGAUGUUUUCAGACAGCUGGAAGCUGCCAAAGGGAAGGUGGCGUCUGAUAUUGCAGAUCACCUGUCCUCCAUUCAAACUAUCACAAAUGCACUGACCUCACUGACCACAUCUGAAAGCCCACAGGUCGUCAACACCGUCCAGGGCUUAUCGGAGAAGCUGCAAGCAGAGGCAGAGCAGGUCGAUGCAUUACUGCAGCAGAUAAAUCUUCUGGCCAGCAUUGCAGGUCUAGAAAACCUGCAGGCACUGGCUGAAGAUGGAGCUCAACUUCAAAAAAGCAUCUGCAUGGCUAGAGAGCUGGUCAUAGAGAAGAGAGAGCAAGCGAUGUACCCCAACAGACCUGAAAAUCUUCAGAUGGCCCGAGAUCCCAAGCACAUUAAGUGGCGGAUCAAAAAAACAGAAGAUACUGCGUCUGAGAUACAGUGUGAAUCUUAUGGUAAAACAGAGGAACAGUCACACAGAGGCCAGACACAAGAUCCUCUUCUUGAGUUGAAAGACUUCAAAGAGCAGGCCUGCAGCUGGACCAGUGAACUGCAUCUGAAGAGUGAUUUUCAGGUUUCUGAGGAUGAGAACCGACAGAUCACACUUGAAGAGAAACUCACAGCUGUGCAGGUAGUUUUCUUGUCAAGGGUCUG